rnacentral:rRNA from 1 species
GUGCCAGCAGCCGCGGUAAUACAGAGGGUGCAAGCGUUGCUCGGAUUUACUGGGCGUAAAGCGUACGCAGACGGUGAGAAAGGUCGGAUGUGAAAGCCCCGGGCUCAACCCGGGAACUGCAUCCGAAACCAUCUCGCUCGAGUGUGGGAGAGGGAAGCGGAAUUCCUGGUGUAGAGGUGAAAUUCGUAGAUAUCAGGAGGAACACCGGCGGCGAAGGCGGCUUCCUGGCCCAUUACUGACGUUCAGGUACGAAAGCGUGGGUAGCAAACAGGAUUAGAUACCCUGGUAGUCCACGCCGUAAACGAUGUGUGCUGGAUGUCGGGGGUAUUCACCCCCUCGGUAUCGAAGCCAACGCGAUAAGCACACCGCCUGGGGAGUACGGCCGCAAGGUUGAA